rnacentral:lncRNA from 1 species
UAUUAAUCUGGGAUAACUUAUUUGCAAGAAUCAUGGGCAUUUAAUUAUCAAGCUAUUUCCAUUGCACAGGACAGUGUCUGUCACAUAGUAGACCCUCAAUAUAUGUUCUUGGUCUUAGCCAAUGGAUCUGGCUACCUUUCUAAACUCUUGAAUUAAUUCUAAUACAAUUGAUGGAGUUCUUUUACUUGGAAUGUUCAGAAUCAGCUUCUCCUAAUUUGAUGAUAUUUCUGGGGUUCAGGUAGAUCCAAAGAGUUCAGUGAUUGACAACAAAAUAGUAUGCAAUAAAAUGCAACUUAGUUGCCAUUAAAACUUGGACAACUAAGAACUCUCACUAAUACAUGAUUCCUUUGAGACUGCUAGGACCUCCCCAAGCUCGCUGAAAGCAUCCCUGACUGGUUGCACUAAAGUCCAGCACGCCACCCCAUCACCAUGUGCCACACGGUGUAGCACAUGUGCGACUCAUGUGCCACCUGUGUAGUACCGACAAUUUUAUAUUCUCUGUAAAAAAUGUCCACAUCUGCUCUCAAUCUCUUCGUCUUCCUGUGCUCUUUUUCUACCAGAUUAUUUCCACCUGUGUAAAUACAUGUUCUAUAACCUCAUACUUUUAUUUAAAAAAAGGAGCCCUUGGAGUUUUCACCAUGGUGCAGUGGGAUUGGCCUUGUCUUGGGAGUACUGGGACACAGGUUUGAUCCCUGCUCUGGCCCAGCACAGUGGGUUAAGUAUCUGGUGUUGCCGCAGCUGCGGCUCAGAUCUGAUCCCUGGCCUGGAAACUCCAUAUGCCCCGGGGCGUGCCCCCCCAAAAAAGCAUCCCUCCCUUGACAUCAUACCCCUUCUUUCCUUCUUUCUCCUUUGUCCCAUUUCUCUGCUCUCCUUUACAGCAAAACCUCUUGAAAGAAUUGCCAACAGUUGUCUCCCCUUUUUCAUCAGCUGUUUCCUCCGUAAGCCACUCUAACAGAUUUCUGUCUGCUAAAGCCACGCUUGUGAAGUGGCGUCCUUGUUACUAAGUCCCAAGUUUCCUUCUCUGCUUUUAUUUUAUUUGACUUGUCAGAGUAUUUGGUACAGACGAUGACUCUCAUUCUUGAAACAUUUACUUCUCUUGGCUUCCUCGAGAGCAUGCGCUUCUGGUUUCGUGCCCUAUUUCUGUGGCCAUUCCUUAUGGCCUCUGUUGCCGGCUCUUUGAUGCUGCAUCCCUAAGUAGGUAUGCCUCACGGCUGGGCUCUGGCCCUCUGCUGUUCCCUGUCUCUACCCACUGUCUAGGAUCUCAUCCAUUCGUAUGUGGUUCCAGAAAUCCAUGUCCGGAUGACUUCCACACUUAUAGAUCCAGCCUUUAUCUCUCCUCUGAGCGCCUGAGGCUUAGUCCACAUCCAUCCUUGAACUCAGGGUCUAGCGGCAUCUUCAGCUUAACAUGUCCAAGCCAGAACUUUCAAAUUUCGCCAUUUUCCAAAUCUAUUCCUCCCCCUUGUCUUCCCCGCUCCACAAAUGACAGCACCAUCUGUAAUGUGGCUCUCAUCCCGGUUUAUGCCAAAGAGUUAAGGGAAGUGUGUGGCGGGAGUACCAGCUAUGUUCCCAGGGCACUGUUCCCCGGACUGUCCUUUCUCCAAGCCGACCCUCCUCAUUUUGUAGUACAUGUCCCAGAACCCAUUAUCUUUUACGGCCAGUUCUACCUCCCCACCAUUCCCACUUCCUGUUCCUUCUUCUUAAGAGUUGUGGACUCAUAAUGACUCUAGAAGCAGAGGUGCUGAAGGCUGGAGUGGGCAAUGGCAUUGUCUUUUCACAGGGUAUAUUCAGCCAAGAGAAGGUGGGCUUCCUGGUUUUCUGGGUGAUGCAGCUCUUGCAUCUCUGGGAUGUGGAGCAGGAGGAGGCAUGAUGCAUUUUUGGAAAGUCCUUCAGGCUAGUGUGUUUGUUUUCUUCCAAUUCCAUUCCCCCCCCCCUUUAAUGUUAUUUGGGCAUUCCCACUGUGGCACAGUGGGUUAAGGACUCAGCAUUGUCUCUAUAACUCAGGUCACUGCUGAGGUGUGGUUAAGGACUCAGCAUUGUCUCUGUAACUCAGGUCACUGCUGCGGUGUGGGUUCAAUCCCCAGUCCGGUGCAGCGGGUUAAAGGUCUGACGUUGCUGCUCCUGUAGCAUAGGUCACAGCUGCAGCUCAGAUUUGAUCCCUGGCUUCCACAUGCUGCAGGUGGGGCCAAAAAAAUAAUUGAUUUUAAAUGCUAUUUGUUUUCGUCCAUUUUUUUCCCCCUUUAUCAUCAUGGGUAUUUUGGUAGGGAGUGAGAAAGCCUAAAUCAAAAACUGUCAGAUGGUGUUUUAAACUAGAAAUCCCUAGAGAAAGGCAAAUAUAAACAAUUAUGAGAAACUUCUUUAUGCUCAUCAGAAUGACACAAUUCAGAAAAAUGUUGGCACUGAUGUGGGGAGACGGGAACUUUGAUGGACUGCUGGUGAGAGCAUAACUGAUACAAUGAUUCUGGAAGGUAGUUUGGCAGAAUCUAGUGAAAUGAAACAUGUGUAUGACCUAUGACCCAGAAAUCACGCUCAGGCACGUAGAUCCUAGAGAAAUUAUGUGUACAGAUCCAAAAGGCCACGUCUAAAGAUUUCGUUGUCAUGUUGCUUGUAAUAGCAGGGAGCUAACGGCAGCCUAGGUGCCCAUUACAAAAGGAAUGGUAAGUCAAGUGCAGUGGAAGCAGCUCUGGGAUAUGCAGGAGGGAAGCAAGAGCCUACACACUGCAAUGGGGGUAAGCUUUAAGAUCACUAUUGAGUCAGGAGUUUUCAUUGUGACGCAGUGGAAAUGAAUCCAACUAGUAUCCUUGAGGAUUUGGGUUCGAUCCCUGGCCUUGCUCAGUGGGUUGAGGAUCCAGUGUUGCUGUGAGCUGUGGUGUAGGUCUCAGAUGUGGCUCCGAUCUGGCGUUGCUGUGGCUGUGGUGUAGGCCAGUAGCUGUAGCUCGGAUUCGACCCCUAGCCUGGGAACCUCCAUAUGCUGCAGGUGCAGCCCUACCCCCACCCCCCAAAAAAAUCUCAUAUUUUAUGAAGAUAAAUGGAUAUCUAAGGUUAUAUGCUAAAUGUGUCAGCGAAGGUAUUUGUGCUGAGGGAGGAGUUUGAAGGUACACAUUAGGGAUAAAGAUGCAGAAGCCCCGUUGCCUCCUGAGAGGUAAGAGCAGCAUGCUCAAAAUCGGACAGAAAGUUCAGAUUUGAAAUAUUUCCCCUGUGAAUUUCAGAAGUCUAGAUUUAUACUUUCUGAAAGUCUUUUUUUUUUUUUUAAGAACUACCUUUAAAGCCCAGGCCCACGACUAGCACGCGUGGGCCAGGUCUUUGUCGAUGGUGGUGAGGGGUAGACUUUCACUCCUUUCGGCCCCCACACUGCUCCACGUUGCCGUUGGUGUGGGAUUCUCUGCAGAGUCAGUCACCCUGGGUCUAGAGGAUGAGCCCUGUCCAUCAGGCAAAGAACACUCACCCCUGCCCCCCCGCCCCCGCCCCAGCACCAGGGCAGUGAUUGGCAGUAAACAGGCUUUCAGCACCUUGCUGGCGACUUCCAGUUAUAUCACUCUGUGGGCGACUUUCCUAGUGUAACAUGCUUGCCUUGCCACGGGGCUUAGCCAGGCAAUUCCCCUCUCUCCCCCCAAAAGCAGAUCUCACCCGAAGAAACAGUGUGGGGACGUCUCCCAAGAUGAAUAAUCUGGUCACAGGUAAAUAACACAAAAAUGGGCUUCCGUGAGUGAUGGCCAAACCCAUCUCCAUAGGAAAACAGCAUCUUUUCCAUUUAAGAAAGACCUUUGAGGAGCUCUGUUCCAGUUCAGCCAAUUGUCUCCCAAAUGUCUGUUGAGUGCCUCCUGAGUGCGAGGGGGCUGAAGCUUGGGGGCAAUUCCACGAGAUGACCAGACGGCUCUAGACUGAGUGGUACCCAGAGUGCGGUACAUGGCGUACAGUCCUUGGUGCAAUAAUAGGAAAGAAGAAGGACAUACAUUUAUAGAAUGUUUUAUACCACUCCGAAGUGCUUUCCUGCCAAUUAUCUCAGCGUGGCUUUCAACCAUACUCUCAGGCAGUACUUGUGAUCAGGUAGCUGUUUUCUUUGGAAAAUGGUCCCCAGCAUUGGGCUACCUACUUUUUGGGGUUGCAUGAGUGUGUGUGUGUGUGUGUGUUGGGGGCAGGGGGAGAGGCAAUUGUCGUGUGCUUCCGUGGAAGGAGAUGAGGGAGCCAGGACUGAAACAUUUCCCAUCCUUCGUCAGUGAUUCUCAACCCUGCCUAUUGAUUCCCUGGGGGUGUGUCGAAAUUUUUCCAAGGAAAUUAAUUGUCAUGCACUUCCGUUUUUAAAAUAUACCUAAGUGCUGUGUAGCACAAUGCUUCUAUUCAGAGGUGGGCCAGGGGGGUGGACUGGGAGUUAUAUGUGUGUCAGAGAAGCUGUCCAUCAGCCAAAGAACACUAGGCAGCUGAAACUCCCCCAAAUUUGGGGGAGUGAUUGGUCUGUGUUCACACUGGCAGGGUUGGCAGAGGCAAAAGGGGGUGGUGUUCCUGAAAAAGUUGCUAUAAGUUGUUGGAUGACUGGAGCGACUCCAGACUCUCAACAGGAGAUGCCCUGACUGGGGCUCCAGCUGUUCAGAUGCCCAGCUCUUCCCAGAGUCUGGAAAAGCAGGCUUCCUGGCCCCUGGGGAGUAUGUCACACCCCCACCGCACAGUGGGUGGUGAGGCUUCAAUUUACCAAUAUUAUUUUUAAUUGGCUGAGUUAACGAUUCAGUGCUUUUUAGCAUUUGUUUAUUGAUACCAAGGAGUGCUGUUGGAUGACUGCUGAGUUUAAGAACAGAAUGGUGUUGGAGUUCCUGCUGUGGCUCAGUGGUAAGAAGCCCGGUUAGUAUCCAUGCGGACACAGAUUCAUUCCCUGGCCUCACUCAGUGGGUUAAGGAUCUGGCAUUGCCGUGAGCUGUGGUGCAGGUUGCAGACAUGGCUCAGAUCCUGCAUGGCUGUGCCUGUGGCUGGCAGCUGCAGCAGCUCUGAUUCCACUCCUAGCCUGGGAACUUCCGUACGCCACACGUGUGGCC